GCAUUAGAACACAAACUUCUAUUUUGGAUGCAAUUAAUCGGUUUGACAGCAUUAGAAUACAAACUUUUAUUUUGGAUGUGAUUAAUCGCGAUUAAUCGGUUUGACAGCAUAAGAACACAAACUUUUAUUUUGGAUGACAGAUUUGACAGCACUACAAAAUAUAUAUAAAAACUCCACACACAACAAGUUGUAUUAAUGGCUUUCUUGCGUCCGAAGGGAUGUGAUGUGGAUUCAGUGUGAAGAGUGUUUGAAAUGGAGAGGAAUCUGCACUAACCUGUUUGCUGGAAGCGUUCCUGAUCGGUUCAAAUGCAGCAUGCACCCAAUACCACGCUUACAGAGCUGUUUGUUACCGGAGGAUAUGGAGGAAAAUGCUGAAAUUACAACACCCAGCUAUGAAAAAACACUCAAAAAACAGGAACAUGCCUCCAUCAAGAGAAGAGGAAGAUCUCUGGAGAUGAGUAAAAGCCCAGUGCGUCCUCUCUGUCGAGGACUAUCUGAACCUGCAUCACAGAGCAAACAGGAUGAGGUGACCGUUAUCAUGACGACAGAUACACAGGAUACAGAUGAGGAUGGAGUCAGCGUCGUUGUCACAGAAGAAGAAGAGUCUUCACCCUCCCCGAGAAAAAGAAGGAAAGAAACAUGUUCAGACAUUGAAAAGGGCAACAAGUCCCCAAACCAUGCUGAAGCUCCAGACGUCCCAUCUGAGGGAGAGACAGAAACAACGGACAAAGCGCAUGAAGGAUCAGAGACAAACAGCGGCACAUCACCAACGGUGGAUACGGUGGCUCAGGACGACACUAUUCAGCCGGAAGCCGCUGUACUCGAGGGCCCCGUUGAGCCCCAGACAUCUCAGGGGCCGCAGAUGCCCAAAGAUCAGCCCAGGAUCCCCUCUCACCCGCUCUCACCACACGCCUCCACAACCAUGACUCAGACAGUGGUCGUCACUCCUCUCAGCCGGCCAGGAUUUCAGCCCGUGUCGCCGUUACCGGCAGACGGUUCGGACCGCGUGGCGCUUGCUCAGAGACUUGCUCAGCUAGAGCGGGAAGCCAAGCGGCUGAAAAGAAUCCUGGGCAUCCGUGAGCCAGAGGUUGCCAUGGUGACGGAGGCAGAAGGGGGUGGGCCUUCUGAUGUCACCACGGGUGAUUCAGUGUCAUGUGACCAAAAUGCGGAAAGAUUGAACCCAAUGUCAAAUGAGUCUAGGAGAGAGGAACUUUCUGUUUGUCAGAAAUCGGAGGAACAGGCCAACAGGCUUCCAUCCAGUUCGUCCCCCAUCCAGCAGGAGGCAGAAACGAGUCCGAGAGAUGAGCUGUACUGGAGCAAGACAUUAGCCAAACUCCAGGGUGAGAACCAGAGCCUGCUAACUGAUCUGAACGAGCUGAGAACAGAGAGAGACCAACUGCUGAACGGAGUGAGACAGACAGAGAGAGACACUGAAGACAGGAGAGACCAGAGCACCAACACACCCAACCACACUUACAAUAGGUGUGUAUGAUUGAGUACAGCUGCACAAAAGA
ensembl:lncRNA